AUUGAACGCUAGCGGAAUGCUUUACACAUGCAAGUCGAACGAGUGGCGGACGGGUGAGUAAUAUAUCGGAACGUGCCCAGUAGCGGGGGAUAACUACUCGAAAGAGUUGCAAAUACCGCAUACAAAUGGAGGGUGCGAUAUCGGAUUGGCGAGUUGGUGGGGGAAAGGCUUACCAAGGCAACGAGGCGUAGCUGGUUUGAGAGGACGACCAGCUACACUGGGACGGAGACACGGCCCAGACUCCUACGGGAGGCAGCAGGGGGGAAUUUUGGACAAUGGGGGAAACCCUGAUCCAGCCAUCCCGCGUGUAUGAGAAGGCCUUAGGGUUGUAAAGUACUUUUGGCAGAGAAGCGGUAUCUGCAGAAUAAGCACCGGCUAACUACGUGCCAGCAGCCGCGGUAAUAC
rnacentral:rRNA from 1 species